rnacentral:rRNA from 1 species
GUACUGGCAUUGUUGGUUUCUCCCUUCUGACGAACCAUGAUGUCAUUUAUUUGGUGUUGUGGGGAAUCAGGACUGUUACUUUGAAAAAAUUAGAGUGUUUAAAGCAGGCUCACGCUUGAAUACAUUAGCAUGGAAUAAUGAAAUAGGACGUUUGAUUCUAUUUUGUUGGUUUCUAGGAUCGACGUAAUGAUUAAUAGGGAUAGUUGGGGGCAUUAGUAUUCAAUUGUCAGAGGUGAAAUUCUUGGAUUUAUUGAAGACUAACUACUGCGAAAGCAUUUGCCAAGGAUGUUUUCAUUAAUCAAGAACGAAAGUUAGGGGAUCGAAGACGAUCAGAUACCGUCGUAGUCUUAACCAUAAACUAUGCCGACUAGGGAUCGGAUGAUGCUAAUUUUUUAAUGACUCAUUCGGCGCCUUACG